rnacentral:rRNA from 1 species
GAUGAACGCUAGCGGGAGGCCUAACACAUGCAAGCCGAGCGGUCGAGCUUCUUCGGUCCCUUGAGAGCGGCGCACGGGUGCGUAACACGUGUGCAACCUACCUUUAUCUGGGGGAUAGCCUUUCGAAAGGAAGAUUAAUACCCCAUAAUAUAAUGAUUGGCAUCCAUUAUUAUUGAAAACUCCGGUGGAUAGUGAUGGGCACGCGCAAGAUUAGCUAGUUGGUGAGGUAACGGCUCACCAAGUCAAUGAUCUUUAGGGGUCCUGAGAGGGAGAUCCCCCAGACUGGAACUGAGACACGGACCAGACUGCUACGGGGGGCAGCAGUAAGGAAUAUUAGAGGAGGAGGGAGAGCCGGAUCCAGCCAUCCCGGGUGAAGGAGGACGGGGCUAGGGAUAGUAAACUACUAUUGAACAGGGAUAAACCUAGCCUCUAGAGGGUAGCUGAAGGUACUGAACGAAUAAGCACCGGCUAACUCCGUG